CCUACAACAUUUCAAAUGCUAUUAGAUUGUUAAUGAUAAUCUUUAAUCCUUAAUUUUUAUAUUUUUACUAAGCCUUGUUGUGCAAGCACUGUUGAGCUUGUGCAGAGGCAGCAGCUUUUGCCAGAGGGGAACUGGAAUCCCCUGGUUGGGCCUGGGUUCCCCUGAGGUUUUUUUUCUCGAUGGGAGUUUUGGGUUCCUCACCACCGUUUGCAUAUUGUUUUGCACUAUCUGCCUGGCCGGGGGGGCUGCUUUAGAAUUCAUACUUGUAUUAAAUGUGUCUCAUGUACAGCUGCUUUGUAACAAUGAAAAUUGUAAAAAGCGCUAUAUAAAUAAAGUUGAGUUGAGUUGAGUUGAGUUGAGCAAACCGGAAACUGACGAGGGUUCUUCCUGUUUAAUACAGAAGUAAUGCACGCAUGCUCCGCGGGCACCACAGCAAAAAUGGCUGCAAAAACUGUUUAUAAACUCUCACUGCUGUGUGUGAGCACUUGGAUGGGUGAAAUGCAGAGCACAAAUAUGUAUGGGAAACAUGUAGUCAUUUACAUUUACAUUUAGGCAUUUGGCAGACGCUUUUAUCCAAAGCGACUUACAGUGCACUUACAGGGACAAUCCCCCUGGAGCAACUUGGAGUAAAGUGUCUUGCUCAAGGACACACUGGUGGUGGCUGCUGGGCUACUCGGCCAAACGACACUUCUAAGAAAGAAAUAACUACAUAUUUAUGGUAGAAAAUGUUGCUAGAAAAUUUAAAUGUCUAUGAUUAGUAUGCCCAGUUGAGACCUCUAUAGCACAGGUGUCAAACUCAGUUCCUGGAGGGCCCCAGCUCUGCACAGUUUAGCUCCAACCCUAAUCAAACACACCUGAUUCAGCUAAUCAUCUUCAGGAUUACUAUAAACUUCCAAGCAUGUGUGGUUAAGAGCUGGUUGGAGGUAAACUGUGCAGAGCUGAGGCCCUCCAGGAAUUGGGUUUCACACCCCUGCUCUAUAGGAUCUCUGUGUAACCCAAAAAUUGACAUUUGAGGCAUUGUGUCCUAUGCAGCAGCACCGUGUCCUUUCAUCUUUUGCACCAUUCUUUGUUUCACAGUGUAACAUGUAUAUGGCUUAAUUUACAGUAAUGCUGCUCUUGACUACAAAUUAUUGAGACCUGCAUCAUUUUCUCCAGUAACAUUUUAACUUAAUGGCCUACUCAAUGUUUGCUCAUCAGUGAGUGACAAAAAACCGCUGCACAUAACCUGGGACAAAAAUAUAGCACAAUUAUAGUUUUUCAUGACUCUAAAUUUAAAUGGUGGACAAUUUAUAACUUCGCUGGACGAAUGGGCCUGGCACAAAGUCUGGUCUGUGUUUGUUGAGCAGUCUGGCCAGUGGUAUUUUUAUUAAAUUUAUAUUAACAUUAAUUAACAUAUUUUUUAUUAUUUAAAACUUAGAAAAUAUUAUAUUGACUUCAUUAGAAUAAUUGAUGGCAUGUGAAAAAAUAUUAGAUUAUUAAUUGUGUAAUCAUAUUUUAAGUGUCUAUUAAGUAAUCAAUCAAUCCAUUAUCCAUCCAUCCAUCAUGGGAAAUCAGAAAUAUUAUGAAGCUGAUACUUUAAAAUGUAAGCUAUCUUUUUAAGAGCAUGGCGCGCAAAACGGAUCGCGCCCAAAACGGAUCGCGCAUACGCAGGCCACACAACGAACGUUUGUUCAUUCCAUGGCGCUUCACUUGGUGAAUACAGAGCAUGAUCUCUUAUUUAGUCUUAUCUUCAUGUGUUUAUUGCGAUUAUUACUUAAUCAAGAUGCGACUUGAUAUUACAUUAUCGUAUAUUGACGUGUUUUGAAGUAUAUUUUACAUUUAAAUCUAGCAUAUGGGUAUGCCUAUUUCAGCUAAAAACAUACCAAAGUAUAUUUAUAUUUUUUAACCUUCCGAAAGUGCAGUAAAAUAAGUAAAUGUUUCAUUAUCGAUUUCAGUCACUCUUGUCUUUUAUUGAAUACUUUGUUGAACUUUGAGCAGGGCGCCAAUAUUUGAAUUCAGUGGUUGCUCACUGAUGGAAGAUCUGUUUGACCUCAAAAUUAUUUCACAAGAGUUUUAUGUACUUUGUUGUGUGCGGGUUAUGAUAUUCUAGAUUUUGCAUGGCAUAGAACAUAUUUAAGAUGAUUAGUCAUCAUUGUUGACUGAUUAUCUCCAGCAAGUUUGUGUUUCUUUCCAGAAAGUUCUUGGAACGUUCUGAUAAGUUUAAACAGUAAAAAUACCACCAUAUGUUUAAAUGAAGCUGUUAAAACCGUGUCCUAACCAAACACGAUGCGACACGCGAUAAAAUGUGUCUUUUCUAUGUUAACCAAAGGUUUUGUCCUAACCAGCCUCGAUAGCCCUGCGUGACGAACAACGGCUGUUUCUGUUUUAGAAACGGGACCCAUAAUAUCUCUCUUCUGCUGUAGCGUGCGAGGCUGUGUGGACUGAGACAAACUGUUCUGAUUAGCUGUGUCUUCUGAUUGAUUGACGCGUCCCGCCCCUUUUCAGUAUGGACAAACAAAUUGCUUAUAGCAGUCGCGUUUGGUUAGUCGCGUAAUGCACUUCUAGGUGGUUGCCCUGCGGGCCUAUUACAAAAACUGCAACUGGUUCAAAACGCGGCAGCUCGAGUUCUUACACGUACAAAAAAGUAUGAGCAUAUAACCCCGGUUCUGUCAACCUUGCACUGGUUACCUAUAAAGCAUCGCAUUAACUUUAAGAUCUUGCUUAUUACCUAUAAAGCCCUACAUGGUCUAGCGCCGCAGUAUUUGAAUGAACUUCUAUUGUAUUACAGACCACCACGUACAUUACGCUCUAAGGGGUCCUGUCAGUUGGUAAUACCUAGAAUUUCAAAAUCAAGUGCAGGUGGUAGAUCCUUUUCUUAUCUAGCGCCUAAACUUUGGAAUAUUCUUCCCUGCACGGUCCGGGAGGCAGACACACUCUGUCAGUUUAAAUCUAGACUAAAGACUCAUCUUUUUAAUCUUGCAUACACUACACCUCCAUAAUAUUAAUCCUCAGAGGAUUUAGGCUGCAUUAUUUAGAUCAACCGGAACCAGGAACACAUCCAACAACAAAUGAUGUACUUGUUGCAUCAAAGAGUGCAGAACAGUACUCUACUCUCAGCCAGUCUUGUCUCUUUGUUCCAAGGUUACCGCAGGAUGCAGUUCAUGCCCAGACCUGAUGGCAGAGCUGAGAAUGGGAAGCGGUGACCUGACAAGUGCUAAGAGGAUAGAGCUGGAUAAAGGACGCGACAACUUUGUUUUUUUCUACAACAUUUCAAAUGCUAUUAGAUUGUUAAUGAUAAUCUUUAAUUUUUAUAUUUUUAUUAAGCCUUGUUGUGCAAGCACUGAUGAGCUUGUGCAGAGGCAGCAGCUUUUGCCAGAGGGGAACUGGAAUCCCCUGGUUGGGCCUGGGUUCCCCUGAGGUUUUUUUUCUCGAUGGGAGUUUUGGGUUCCUCACCACCGUUUGCAUAUUGUUUUGCACUAUCUGCCUGGCCGGGGGGGCUGCUUUAGAAUUCAUACUUGUAUUAAAUGUGUCUCAUGUACAGCUGCUUUGUAACAAUGAAAAUUGUAAAAAGCGCUAUAUAAAUAAAGUUGAGUUGAGUUGAGUUGAGUUAGGAUGAGGUGAACCUAUUACUGUAAUAUAUAUCAUAUUAUAUCAUCGUGUUUCAGACAAAACCCUUUAAUGAAGUACUAUUUCAUACCUUUACUAUUUUUGUUUCUUCUUCAGAAAUUGCAUCACUGCUAGGCUGUUAUUAAAUUUCCUGAAGAUAACACUGUUGAUGUUGUGCCUUCCACGUGGCUUGAUAUAACAAUAGAGGUGUUACCUAUUAUUCUCAUCUUAUGCUUCAAACUUUUAUUGUUCUAUGUGUAUCAUUAGUCUAUAGUUAUAGUCUAUUAGUAUAUUGCUAUUGGCCAUGUAACGAAGAGAUAGACCUGACACUACACUUAGAUCGAAGCAUGUUGCAUCUGUUCUGGUAUAUGCAGGUAUGAAGAAUUAGUUUGAGGUUUCUUAUGUUUUCGUGGUUUAUGCUGAUUGUCUUUUACUGAUCUUUUCUUUAUUUCCAGACAGCUACGAAGAAGCUAGGUGCAAAGCAAAACAGACAACCAUGAUCAAACUUGGAGAGUGACGAAGAUGAAAGUCAUAUUCAAAGAAAAAGAAGACCACCAGCACGAUACCAGAGAGCAUUAGCUAGUGGUGUUUUUGAAAGUACCUUACAAACAGAGAAUUGCACUGCUUCAACAUCUGAAAUCGAAGAACUUUAUCAAGGUCCAUUAUCUAAGCCUUCUUUGGAGUAAAACUCCAGGUGAUGCUGUGAGGAGGGUUUUACAAACAAUUGCAACUAACAAUGUGUGGGCUCAGUAUAGGACGAAGGGUCGAAAGGGAAAGAAAGCAUUGAAGACCUGGAAAUUUGCAGUGUUAUUACUCAAAAAAUAUUUUCAGAAGCCUGCUGCAAGAUGCAUCCGAAGGAGUCUACAAAGGUGUUUUGUGACUGUAUAGCAGACAACUUAAAGUAUGCCCCACAGCGAGGGACAAGGGUGAAGAAUGAGGAGACAGAAGAGAGGUGUACACAGAAGUCCAGUCAACAAACAGAUUACAAUUGUAGCAUCCUAAUAAUAUAUGUUUUUCUUUUAAAUUGCUGAUACAUGUUUAAUAAUUAAAUAUGUUUUAAUGUUUAAUUUGCUUAUACCUUAGUUACCUAAA